rnacentral:lncRNA from 1 species
AAGUUUCGACACUUCCAUAGCAAAAUUAAGGUAUGUUUUGGUUUCGAUUUUUGAUAAUUUUUAUGUUUUUGAGAUCAUUGCUUUGUGUACUACAAGACCCAUACUUUAAUUUUAGAAUUUGAUGGUGAUUUUGAGAUAUGCCAUUAAUGAAUGCUUGAGAUUUGUGAUAGUUGAUGAUGAAAUAUGAAAGAUAUGUAAAGGAUUAACAUGUUUUGUCUUUGAAUGUUUAGUGAAAUUGAGUAAUUAGGGUUAAAAUUGUGAAAAUAAAAUUUUGAGGGACUAAAAUGGGAAAUAAAUGAAAUGUGUGGACUUGUAUGAAGCCUAUGAAUAUUCGGCCCUAGCAUAGUGUGGGCAAAUUUUGUGUAUUUCAUGUUUUGUGCAAAAAGGACUAAAUUGUAAAAAGUGUAAAAUGUCAGGGGCAAAAUGAUAAUUUGCCCAUUUAUGUAUUUUUGGAUUUAAUUGAAUGUUUUGAUGAAUAAAAAGGUUAAAUUUGAAUAUGUUUAGAUCAUGAACGAAGAAAACGGAAUUGGAUCGGGGGAAAACGAAAGUAGUCGAGUAAUCGAUCGUGUCCGCCGAUAUCCGAGGUAAGUCAAUUAGCAAGUAAAUGUUAUCUAAAUUGAAUAUAUAUAUACACAUUUUUUUACCACACAUAUGAUAAGUUAGAACUUAAAAUGUGUAAAUUAAAUAAAACCUUGUAAUUUACCUAUAUAUUAUAGCUGAAUAUAAGAAUUAAUAUUAAUAAGUUGAUGUUAAUGAUUUAGGUUUCAUGUACGUUAGCUAAAUAUGCUAUAAAUUCAAUGAUUCGAAACAAAUGGUGGAAUAAAUAUACAUAGAUGUGUAAAUUCGAAUGUAAGGCUUAAUUCUUUGGAUUGAAUUUAAGUUAUGAGUUAAAGAUAUGGUUCUAAAGUAUAUUAUAAGUUCUUGUAAUAAAAUUUAAAUACUAUGAAUUACAUAUAUCUUUGUGCGUAUUGUUAGAACAUAGUUAUAUACGUAUAUUCAUGUUCUUGAGCUGGAAAAUUAAUGUAUGAAUUUUAUAGGUAUAAGAGGGUUCGAACAUAGAUUACAAAAACAUUUGUGCUGAAUGUAAUGUUUUUUUAUAGUUAUACCUAUGUGGUCCGAAUGUAAGUUUACUAUGAAGAAUCGAAUAUAAUUCAAUGUUAUGGAUAUGCAGUUACUGAGUAAGACUUAUGUAAUUAUAAAUAACUAUACGAAAGAGCGUCUUUGUAUUUGAGAUUCUCAGGCUUGUGCCUAGCAGGCUUAAUGCCUGUGAAAUAUUCAGACUAUACGUCUAGCAGGCUUAAUGCCGGUGAAAUAUUCAGAUUAUACGUCUAGCAGGCUUAAUGCCAGUGAAAUAUUCAGACUAUACGUCUAGCAGGUUUAAUGCCAGUGAAAUAUUCAGACUAUACAUCUAGCAGGCUUCAUGCCGGUGAACGGAAUCAGGCUUUAAGCCUAGCAGGCUAUGUGCUGGUGAAUUUAUUUAAAACGUGUGUUCAGAAAGUUCUUGUUAAUGUAAUUUUAAAUGUAGUCGGACAUGUGAAUGAAUUAUAUUUGUAGGUAUGUAUUAAUUAAAUGAAUGAAUGAAAAUAAGGUAAGUUGUCUAUUCGGAAUGAAAUAUCAUAAGUGUUUGUAAUAUUAUAAGUUACCAUUUUUAUUUAGAGAUGUAAAUUGGCUUAGUUGAUAACUAAGCUGCCAUAACGAAGGCUUAUAUAUAUAUAUUUAUAUAUGGAUGAAUUAAGGUAUGUUUAGAUUAAUAGAAAGGUAUAUGGAAUUGAAAGUGUAACCAAGAGAUGUAUAAUCCUUAUAAAUAAUUUAAUUGUUCUUUUUUUUAUUUGUUAAAUUUUAUCUAUGCUAUUGACUUACUAAGCUUUAAAAUGCUUACUGUAUGCAUUUGUGUCUGUUUAUUUUGUCUUAUAGAUUUUGAGGUGGUUACGAGUUCGGGAUCGUCAGUAAAGUUUAUCACACUAUUGGAUAAUUACGGUAUUUUAAGCUGAAAUUUUCUUGAAACUAUGGCGUGUAUAGACUAGUUUGAAAUUGUUUCUUUUGAGAGUAUAUUUGUAUUAAAGCCAUG